AAUAUUGUUAGUUUCUGUUAAAUAUAAUAUGAAUAGACUAUAUUAACUGUAACAUCCCAAAAUUCAGGUAAGCUAUUUAACCCUUUCAUUUUAUCAAGUUGUCAAGAUUGGUCCAUUGAGAGAGUUUUUGUAGUAAAUGAGUAUGUUGCGCGUACUCAUGCGCUUAAUUUGGAUGCGGACUCGCCUGGGUACCCAGGGUUACGUUGGGCGUAACGGGUCUAGAUGCAAACCCUAAAUGUUUGGCUUGUGCACUAUUUAAAGGAUGCUAAGGCUCAUUUCUCAGCCUCCAUAUCAGAGAGUGAAACCCUAAGAGAGAGCCUUCCAUCGUCCUUAGCUUGAGUGUGUGUUUUGGAGCUAAAAGUGUCUUGGUGUGUUAGUGAAGAAGAAGGAGAAGAGCUUGUGGAGGCUAGGGCUUGAAGUGCAAGUUUGGAUCUGAGAUCUACAGAGAAAGGAGCUUCAUCUAGAGGUAUAAAGUUCAAAACUUUCCUCUUUAUUUCGUUAGAUGAUUGCAUGGACCAUUUCUAGGGUUAAAAGUCCCAAAGGUGGAGACUUUAUGAGUGUAAUGUACUCCAUGGACCUAGAUUUGUCCCAUUUCAGUGAUAUUUGUGUUAUAGAUCCAUAAAGUUUCCAUCUUGGUCGUUGUUAUGAGGUCAUGCUUGAGUUAUGAGCUUUCUAGAGUUGGGAAAUGGAAUGUUAUGGGAGUUAGUGACUUGUCCAGCCAUGCAAAGGCUUAAAAUCACCAACUUUAUGGAUUAAGAGGCUUAGAAAUGGUCAGAUCUAGAAGUUGGACGUGGGUCUUAACUGUUUAAGACCUCAAGAGCUUAGAGUUUGAAACUGGGAUUUACGUGGGGCGUAAUCCCAGUACGCGCGACGUAAGGGGUCGCGCACCCCGUUUCUAUGAGGACGUCGGGUACGCCCAGCGUACAUGUUUGGUACGCGCAGCGUAACCCGGAGAGUUGACUUUUGUUGACUUUUAGGGUUUGGUCAACUUUAGGGUCUUUGAGCCAUGAGAAGGGUAAAAUGGUCUUUUACCCUUCUGAGAGUACUAAGAGAAGGAAUAGUCUAGCCUUGAGAGAUGUAUUGAUUUACAGUGUUUAUUUCAUAUGAUUAGGCGGAGGCUAGACCCGAUUUUACAGUGUUCGAGAUUUACCGAGUUACCCGAUGUGAGUCUUCUCAUUAUACUUUACCUAGAGUGGUAAUUAGAGUUAUGUGACAAAGUAUUUUGUAUGUUUUUGCAUGAUGUGAUUUCUAUGUGAUUUAUGUUAUGUAUGUUACAGAGUUUCCAGAGUUAGGACCGGAAGGUCCACAGAGUUAGGGCCACAGGGCGCACAGAGUUACGGGACUGGAGGGUCCCACUGAGACACAUUGACUAGAGGGUCAAAUAGAGUUAUAGCCUCGAGUGGCGAAUAUGUGUUGUGUGUGGUAUUUUGGGAAACUCACUAAGCAUUUAUGCUUACAGUGUUGUGUUAUGUGUUUCAGGUACCAGUGAGGAUCACGGGAAGGCGCCGGGUUGAUCAGUACACACAUGAGAAGCUUUUACAUUUUAUGAUCUUGGGAUGUGAUGUUAUGAACUGAUUAUGUGAUACAAUGAUAUUUUUAUAACAAUUAUGAAUGAAAGUGUGUUUUUAAAAUGUGAAAAAUUAUUUGAAAAUUUGGGUGUUACAAGUUGGUAUUAAAGCCUUCGUUUGAGGGAUUCGGGUGCACCUUCGGGCGUAUCUGAACUCAAACUAAGGAUUUGAGAGAUUUUCAAAAUAAAAUUCACAAAAUUUUUCUCAAGAGUAAAAAGUUUUUGAAAGAGCAGAGCAGAGCAGUGUGUACGAUCAACCAGCGCCCGAACGAUGAUUUCCCAAAAUACCCUUACAUUAUGAGUUAUGAGAUAUGUUAUGAUAUGAUAUGCAUGCUAGAGUAGGCUAGGUAUUCUUAUUAGGACUAGAGUGGUCUGAUUUGUGAUGCCUUAGCUUAGGGAUUUUGCUGCUAGGAGAUGCUUGUGAGUGAAUAGAUGGCAACGAGGAGCUUAUGAGAGAUCUGCUAGAGAGUAGACUAUGUAUAGAGAGAGAAUAGAGUACUUGGGAUUUGGGAUCCUAGGAGGAGGACAUGGGGUGAAUAUUGAUGCGGUGUGGACGGUAGUAUUGGGCCCGUACUACCGAAGGCACCGGAUCAGUGCGUAGCCCGAGUAAGAAUCCUUAGGGUACCAGGGAUCAAGUAGGAUUGGGAUAUCGAGUGUGUGUACACUCGAGCGAGUCUCUGAUAUCUUGUGUUGUAUUUAAGAGAGACAUCAUGGUGGGGACACACCACAGGCCAGGGACUAGCGAGGGGGUGUGAUCGAUGAGGAGCUCCGCCAGAUGAUUCAUGAUGAGGUGGCUGCUGCCAUCCGCACUGAGAUUCCAGAUAUGUUCGGGUCUAUUAAGACCACACUGAUUGAGACCUUUGAUGAGUGGUAUGCUGCUCUUACUGAUGCUGUUGUUGNGCGCUGAGAUUCCAGAGAUGUUCGAGUCUAUCAAGACCACACUGAUUGAGACUUUUGAUGAGCAGUAUGUUGCUCUUACUGAUGCUGAUGUUGCUGUUGCUGCAGCCACUACGGCCGUUGCUGCUGCCAGGCCGCAGGGGGUGACGCGUUGAUGUACUGGGAGUUCAGCAACACGAAGCCACCAGAGUUUGAUGGGACUCAGGAUCCGAUAGUCGCGAUGAGGUGGAUCUCUAACAUUGAGUGGUGCUUUUACACAUGUUCAUGUCCGGAGCAUCUGAGAGUUCGGUUCACGCUGAACCAACUUCGCUUGGGGCCAAGGACUGGUGGAAGUUUGUGACAGCGCACUAUUCUUCAACAGAGCUUGCUGCGGUGACCUGGGAGAGGUUCACCGCUAUGUUUCGUGAUGAGUACAUUCCCCCGGUGGAAAGGGAGCGUUUGGCCCAGGAGUUCUUGACCCUCAAGCAUGGUACUGAGUCUGUUACUAUGAUCACCAGGAUGUUUCAUGAGAGGGCGAUGUUCUGCCCUGAGCAUGUGUCUUCCGAGCAGGCACGUAUGAGUCGGUAUUUGAGUAUUUUGAGGAGAGACAUCCACGAAUUUGUGGCGAACUCGACGUACCGGACAUUUGCCGAGUUUCAGGCAAAUGCCCAGAAAAGGGAGAUUGAGCUAGAGACUCGGGCCAGGGAGGAGGCGGAGUCUCAGGGGAGGGAUCGGCGACCGGCACAGUCCCAGCCGGCUGCCAAGCGGGCUAAGCCCGCCGAUUCGAGAUCAGGGAACCAAAAGGGUCGCACUUGUGGCAAGUGCGGCAAGAGUUAUGAGGGGGUGUGCAGAGCAGGGUCAUGCUACAAGUGUGGCAAGGAGGGGCACAUGGCCAAGGAUUGACCCAAGGGGUUUGCAGUUUGUUUUCACUACAACCAGACCGGACACUGGAAGGCCGAGUGUCCACAGUUAUGAGGGUCAGCUCAGGGAUCUGUCCCUGCUGCUGUUCGAGCUACAGAGAGUCGGCCGGUGAAGGCCGAGGCGCCGAAGGUUCGCGGGAGAGCCUUCCAGUUGACAGCGGAGGAGGUCCGCGCAACACCCAAUGUUGUGGAUGGUAUGUAUUAUUUCCUCUAUUUGUUUUGAGUUUGUGGUGUUAUGCUUAUGUUGUGAUAUGCGUAGGUACAUUUCUGGUGUGUUCUGUACCUGCUUUGGUGUUAUUUGACUCGGGUGCAAGUUGGUCUUUUGUGUCGUUAGCCUUUAGUCAGCACAUCAGUAUUCGUCGUGAGGCGUUGAGUCAACCUUUGCGAGUUUCCAUAGCUGACGAGAGAGCAGUGUAUGCUACUGAUGUGAUUCGAGGAUGUGUACUCGAGAUCUUCGGCGUUGAGUUUCCGAUUGAUUUGGUCCCGGUUGCUAUGGGAGAUGUCUGUGUCAUCGUGGGCAUGGACUGGUUGAGCAGAUUUGGAGUGUUAUCGACUGCGAGUGACCGUUGGUGACCAUACGAGACCCUAGUGGGGGAGUUCUUAUGGUUUAUGGCGAGGGUACCCGUUAUGGUUCGGCGUUUUGUUCAGCCGCGAUAGCGGGGCAGAGUCUACAGCAGGGCUGUAGUGGGUAUGUGGCUUAUGUGGUGGAUACAGGGGUAGAUGCAAAGAGACCGAGUUUGGUCGAUGAGGUCCCGAUAGUGCGUGAGUUCCCGGAUGUUUUCCCCGAGGAGUUGUCGGGUGUGCCUCCCAAGAGGCAGGUUGAGUUCCAUAUCGAUUUGGUUCCGAGGGCAGCGCCUAUCGCCAAGGCGCCCUAUCGCCUUGCACCUCCAAAGAUGCAAGAGUUAUCCUCGCAUGUUCAGGAGCUGCUGGGAAAGGGGUUUAUACGGCCAAGUAGCUCGUCGUGGGGAGCGCCGAUCCUUUUUGUCAAGAAAAAGGAUGGUUCACACCGGAUGUGCAUUGAUUACCGGGAGUUGAACAAGCUGACGGUCAAGAACCGUUACCCCUUACCGAGGAUCGACGAUUUGUUCGAUCAGUUGCAGGGAGCGUCUUGGUUCUCCAAGAUUGAUUUGAGGUCUGGAUAUCAUAAGAUGAGGGUGUGUGAUGAGGAUAUCCAAAAGACAGCGUUCAUGACUCGUUACGGGCAUUACGAGUUCGUGGUGAUGCCUUUCGGGCUCACCAAUGCACUGGCGGCAUUCAUAGAUCUCAUGAAUAGGGUGUGCAGGCUGAUGUUGGAUCGUUCGGUGAUCGUGUUCAUUGAUGAUAUAUUGGUGUAUUCGAGGUCCAGAGAGCAUCAUGAGGAGCAUUUGAGGGAGAUCCUCGAAGUUCUGAGAUCGGAGAGGCUUUACGCCAAAUUCCCCAAGUGCGAUUUCUGGUUACGAGAGGUCCAAUUUCUAGGACACCUCGUCAACCAGAAUGGGAUAUUGGUCGAUCCGGCCAAGAUUGAGGUGGUGAUGAGCUGGGAGGUGCCAAGAUCCCCUUCGGAGAUCAGGAGUUUCCUGGGAUUGGCCGGUUAUUAUCGGAGAUUCAUCCAAGAUUUCUCCAGGAUUGUUGUUCCCCUCACCAGACUGACCCAGAAGGGCGUGGCUUUCAGUUGGGGCCCGGAGCAGCAUGCCUCAUUCGAGACACUUCGCCAGAGAUUGUGCGAAGCCCCAGUGUUUGCCCUUCCGAAGGGAAUGGAGGACUUUAUGGUGUAUUGUGACGCGUCGAUAUCGGGACUGGGUGCAGUGCUGAUGCAGAGAGUGCAUGUGAUAGCAUACGCAUCGAGGCAGCUGAAGCCUCAUGAGACGAGGUAUCCUACUCACGAUCUGGAGUUGGGGGCUGUGGUGUUCGCCCUCAAGAUCUAGCGUCACUAUUUGUAUGGGGUUCGGUGUACCAUAUACACGGACCACAAGAGUUUGAAGUAUCUAUGGAUCAGCCCAACCUGAACAUGCAUCAGAGGAGAUGGUUGGACGUGGUAAAGGAUUAUGAGUGUGAGAUCCUGNAAAGGUCUAUGGUGUUAGCCGAUGCCUUGAGUCGCAGGGCAGAGAGUGCCCCUUUGCGAGAUGUUUGUAUGAGGUUAACAAUGAUGACUUCGGUGUUGGACACCAUUCGGGAGGCCCAGGUGGAGGCCAUGAGACCGGAGAACCACAAGCGAGAGUGGGUGAUUGGUCAAAUAUCUGAGUUCAUUACCGAUAGCCGGGGGCUUAUGACCUUCCAGGGCCGGAUUUGGGUGCCAUUUGAGGGUGGGGCACGUUCCAUUUUGAUGGAGGAGGCGCACAGGUCGAGGUUUUCGAUCCAUCCCGGGGCUACUAAGAUGUAUUUGGAACUGAAAAGAGAUUAUUGGUGGCCCUGUAUGAAGAGGGAUGUGGCGUGGUUUGUAGAGAGGUGCUUGACAUGUCGCAGGGUUAAGGCCGAGCACCAGUGUCCACAUGGCAAGUUGCAGUCGCUUGAGGUUCCCUAGUGGAAGUGGGAGCAGAUUUCCAUGGAUUUUAUCACCAAAAUGUCGAGGACCGCGAGAGGCGUCGAUGCAAUUUGGGUGAUCGUCGAACGGCUGACUAAGAGAGCUUAUUUUCUUGCUAUCAGUGAGAGAUCUUCCGCAGAGAGGCUGGCAGAGGUGUAUGUGAGGGAGGGGGUAUCGCGACAUGGUGUACCGAUCUUGAUUGUGUCCGAUAGAUGUGCGUNCCAGGUUCUGGAAGAAGUUCCAUGACGAGUUGGGUACUAGGCUGCAUUUCAGUACCGCUUACCACCCACAGACGGACGGACAGAGUGAGCGGACGAUUCAGAAGCUCGAGGACAUGCUUCAGGCAUGUGUGUUGGACUUCGGAGGGAUUUGGGACACGUAUAUGCCUUUAGCUGAGUUUUCCUAUAACAACAGCCACCAUUCUUUUGGGCAUUGGUAUGCCUCACUUUGAGUUAUUUUAUGGGAGGAGGUGUCGGACUCCCAUUUGUUGGGGAGAGGUAGGGCAGCGAGUGAUGGGCAACACUGAGAUAGUGCUUCAGACGACAGAGCAGAUACAAUAGGUUAGACAGAGAUUGUUGACGACCCAGAGUCGCCAGAAGUGUUACGCGGAUAGGCGUCGUUCCGAGCUCGAGUUUCAGGUUGGAGAUUUUGUACUCCUGAAAGUGUCUAAUUGGAUAGAGUGAUCCGAUUCAGGAAAAGAGGCAAGUUGGGGCCCCGGUACAUUGGACCGUUUAGGGUGAUUGCGAGGGUAGGCAGGGUAGCAUAUCAAUUGGAGCUACCCGCGGAGUUGAGCAAGAUUCAUGAUACCUUCCACGUGUCUCAGCUGAGGAAGUUUAUAGCCGGCGAGUCGGCAGUGGUGCCAUUGGAGGAUAUCCAGGUGGAUGUGGGUCUGAAUUAUGUUGAGAGACCGAUCGUGAUCUUGGACCGGAAGGUCAAGGUUUUGAGGAACAAGGAAGUGCCUCUAGUUCAGGUCCAGUGGCAGCAUCGGAGGGGGUCCGAGCUGACUUGGGAGCCGGAGUCAAAGAUGCAGGAGCAACAUCCGAAGUUGUUUUCGACAUGAGACUUCGAGGGCGAAGUCUGGUUCUAGUGGGGAAGAAUUGUAACAUCCCGAAAUUCAGGUAAGCUAUUUAACCCUUCCAUUUUAUCAAGUUGUCAAGAUUGGUCCCUUGAGAGAGUUCUUGUAAUAAAUGAGUAUGUUGGGCGUACUGGGGAGUACGCUACGCGUACUCAUGCGCUUAAUUUGGAUGCGGACUCGCCUGGGUACGCUGGGCGUACCCAGGGUUACGUUGGGCGUAACGGGUCUAGAUGCAAACCCUAAAUGUUUGGCUUGUGCACUAUUUAAAGGAUGCUAAGGCUCACUUCUCAGCCUCCAUAUCAGAGAGUGAAACCCUAAGAGAGAGCCUUCCAUCGUCCUUAGCUUGUGAGUGUGUGUUUUGGAGCUAAAAGUGUCUUGGUGUGUUAGUGAAGAAGAAGGAGAAGAGCUUGUGGAGGCUAGGGCUUGAAGUGCAAGUUUGGAUCUGAGAUCUUUAGAGAAAGGAGCUUCAUCUAGAGGUAUAAAGUUCAAAACUUUCCUCUUUAUUUGGUUUGAUGUUGCAUGGACCAUUUCUAGGGUUAAAAGUCCCAAAGGUGGAGACUUUAUGAG
rnacentral:lncRNA from 1 species